rnacentral:rRNA from 1 species
GACGAACGCUGGCGGCGUGCUUAACACAUGCAAGUCGAACGGAAAGGCCCUGCUUGCAGGGUACUCGAGUGGCGAACGGGUGAGUAACACGUGGGUGAUCUGCCCUGCACUUCGGGAUAAGCCUGGGAAACUGGGUCUAAUACCGGAUAGGAGCCAUUUUUAGUGUGAUGGUUGGAAAGUUUUUUCGGUGUAGGAUGAGCUCGCGGCCUAUCAGCUUGUUGGUGGGGUAAUGGCCUACCAAGGCGGCGACGGGUAGCCGGCCUGAGAGGGUGGACGGCCACAUUGGGACUGAGAGACGGCCCAGACUCCUACGGGAGGCAGCAGUGGGGAAUAUUGAACAAGGGGCGCAAGCCUGAUGCAGCGACGCCGCGUGGGGGAUGACGGCCUUCGGGUUGUAAACUCCUUUCGCUAGGGACGAAGCUUUUUGUGACGGUACCUAGAUAAGAAGCACCGGCUAACUACGUG